GACGAACGCUGGCGGCGUGCUUAACACAUGCAAGUCGAACGGAAAGGCCCUGCUUUUGUGGGGUGCUCGAGUGGCGAACGGGUGAGUAACACGUGAGUAACCUGCCCUUGACUUUGGGAUAACUUCAGGAAACUGGGGCUAAUACCGGAUAGGAGCUCCUGCUGCAUGGUGGGGGUUGGAAAGUUUCGGCGGUUGGGGAUGGACUCGCGGCUUAUCAGCUUGUUGGUGGGGUAGUGGCUUACCAAGGCUUUGAAGGGUAGCCGGCCUGAGAGGGUGGCCGGCCACAUUGGGACUGAGAUACGGCCCAGACUCCUACGGUAGGCAGCAGUGGGGAAUAUUGCACAAUGGGCGGAAGCCUGAUGCAGCAACGCCGCGUGCGGGAUGACGGCCUUCGGGUUGUAAACCGCUUUCGCCUGUGACGAAGCGUGAGUGACGGUAAUGGGUAAAGAAGCACCGGCUAACUACGUG
rnacentral:rRNA from 1 species